rnacentral:rRNA from 1 species
AAAAUUAAAGGUCUAAUUCUGCCCAAUGAUAAAUUGAAAUGGCCGCGGUAACUUGACCGUGCAAAGGUAGCAUAAUUAUUAGUCUUUUAAUUGAAGGCUUGAAUGAAAGAUUGGAUGAGAAAUAGACUUUAUUAACAAAAAUUAUUUAAUUUAUUAUUUAAGUAAAAACUCUUAAAUAUACAAGUGGGACGAGAAGACCCUAUAGAGUUUUAUUUUUAUUUCUAUUAUGAAAUUUAAGAAUUAAUAUUUUUAUUAUAAAAAUAAAUUUUUUAUUGGGGUGAUAUUAAAAAUUAUUAAACUUUUAAUUAACGUUUCAUUAAUAUAUGUAUAAUUGAUCCAAAUAAAUUUUUGAUUAUAAGACUUAAUUACCUUAGGGAUAACAGCGUUAUUAAUUUGAAGAGUUCAAAUCGAUAAAUUAGUUUGCGACCUCGAUGUUGGAUUAAGAAUAUGUUUUAAAGUAGCAUUUAAAAUUAUAGGUCUGUUCGACCUUUAAAUUCUUACG